GGAAAAAUUGUUCUUCAUACAAUGACAGACAGUAGCCAUAAACACCUUCGGGGGAAAAUGGUGAAGCAUGUAUGUGACUGGAAAAUUCGU
rnacentral:ribozyme from 1 species